CUCCAGCUGAGACGUUAUAUCAUUUGCUGGCUUCCGGAAAUGAUGGUCCAUAACCGAAUCUUCAGCAUGAGCCUAAAAAUAUAAGUGAAGAUGAUUGUGUUAUUAGUAGAAAAGUAACAUUGCAAAAUUUCUAAAUAAUGAGCUUUCUUCUAAAAAAAACCAAAAAUCCAAACUGUACUUUCUGUGAACAAAUGUCUCAAUGCCUCCACAGGUAACAAGCUAGGGCUCAGCUUUAGUGAUCCUGGAGGAAGAUUUUCCUGCACUUUUCUCUAUCUCAAAAUUGCAGGUAAUACCAGCAGUCCUCAACUAAAGACAUGUAUGCUAUCACAAUCAACCCAAACGGCUGAAGCCCAUCCUAGACCUACUGAAUCAUAAUCUUUAGCAGUGAAAUCUGGACAAGUACAUUUUAAAUAUGCCCUUCAGAUCAGGACUGCCAUGUGAAUCCUUGAUGAAGACCUCUGGAGAGAUGACAUAUAAGGUUACUACUAGCACUAACACUGAAGUUAAAAAGAACACUCAGAAAGAAAAACUCUGUUCUACACUCUUCCAACUACAACUAGGGUAAAGACCUUACUAGAUAUAAACUUCUCAGAAGCAUUUUCUGUUAAUACACAACCACUACGUUUUUCUACACAAAUUGGAGAGCUACAAAUUCAAGUGAAACACUACACACUUUACAUAAAGAGGGGAAUCUUGUAAAGCUAUGCACAAAUAAAACCACACCUUAAAUGUGUCACAGGAACCUUUUUUUUUUUUUUUUUUUGAGACAGGGUCUCACUCUGUCACCCAGGCUGGAGUGCAGUGGCACGAUCUGGGUUCAUUGCAACCUCCACCUCCCAGGCUCAAGCGAUCCUCCCACCUCAGCCUCCCAAGUAGCUGGGUCUAUAGGCACAUGCCAUGACACCUGGCUAAUUUUUUUGUAUUUUUUAUAGACAGGUUUUCACAGUGUUGCUCAGGCUGGUCUCAAACUCCUAGGCUCAAGCGAUCCGCUGGCCUUGGCCUUCCAAAGUGCUGGGACUACAGGCAUGAGCCACCAUGCCCAGCUAGAAACUUCUUAAAAAUGAAGUCAUGUUUGUGAAAUCCAGAUCCUCUUUUCUAUUUGCGUUUAAGAUACAUGACCCAGUCUGGGGGAAAAAAGCAAAAAGCCAGACAAUUCUAUACUGCUUCAUGCCUGAUGUCUUCUUGUACGCUUGGGAUGGGUUUUAAUCUUCUAGUUGAAAACUGUACUUAUAGGACUUGAAAGUACAGCUUUCUUUUCCUCUUUUCCUAAAUACAUCUAAGGAAUCUUCUUUUCUAAAGGGAUAAAGAACAUUUUGUUCUUUCAUUAGAACUUGUACUAUUACAAUUCCAUUAGACUCAACUUAAAAUAUUACAGCUGUUAAUAACUAGCCUUUAAAGUACAAAUAAAUUUUUGUGUUUUUAUCCAUGUUUUCACCCCUUACAUCAACUCAUACUAGUAUUAAAUGUCACUCCUUUGUACCAAACCAACACACUGUAAGGCAAUAGAAUGUUCUAAUACAAAUUUUAAAGGAGGCUAGAAACAUAAAAACAAAUUCACAAAACACCAGCAAAUUAGAAUCAAUUAUAUAUACUAAUUGUGUGAUUUUUAAAUGUUUGCUAUUUCAAACCAAUGCUUUCAAUUUAUUGCAAACCACAGAUCGAAAAUAUUCAGAAAAAAAUAAAACCAACCAACCAUAUAACAAUAAAAAGUAGGCCAGGUGUGGUGGCUGACACUUGUAAUCCCAGCACUCUGGGAGGCAUAGGCAGAAGGGCUGCUUGAGUCCAGGAGUUGGCACAGGUGUGUAGUUCCAGCUACUCAGGAGGCUGAGCUAGAAGGAUCGCUUGAGCACGGGGAGGUUGAGGCUGCAGUAAGCUGUGACCAUGCUACUGCAUUCCAGCCUACAUGACAGAGCAAGACCUUGUCUCAAAAUAAAGUGUAUGAGGGAGUGCUCACUUUGGCAGCAUAUAUACUAAAAGUGGAACAAUACAAAGAUUAUUAGCAUGAUCCCCACAAGGAUGACACGCAAAACUGUAAAUUGUUCUAUAUUUUAAAUUAAAAAAUAGAAACAAUAAAAAAUAAAGUAUAGGGAAAACGUGUUUAGGCUAUAUGCAGAUACUAUGCCAUUUUAUAUAAUGGACAUGAGCAUCUGAAAAUUUUAAUAUCUCUGGGUCCUGGAACGAAUCCCCUGCAGAUACCAAGAAACUGUACUGGGAUAAAGUCAGGGCAGGGGGAUCCUUUUUUUUUUUCUUUUUUCCUUUUUUUGAAACAGUCUUGCUCUGUCAACUAGGUUGGAAUGCAGUGAUGCUAUCUUGGCUCACUGCAACCUCUGCCUCCUGGGCUCAAGUGAUCCUCUCCCGCCUCAGCCUCCCAGGUAACUGAGACCACAGGUGCACGCAACCACAUCCAGAUAAUUUUUAUAUUUUUUGUAGAAACAGGGUUUUGCCAUGUUACCCAGGCUGGUCUCAAACUUUUAACUCAACAAUCUGCCCACCUCAGCCUCCCGAAGUGCUGGGAUUACAGGUGUAAGCCACUGUGUCCGACCUUUUUUCUAGAGCACUCAGACAAUGAGGAGCAGAAAACAGAAACUCUGAGCUCUGUCAAUAACACGGUAACACAGUUCUCCAUUUGUAAAUAGUUUCUUCCUUCCCCUUAACUACCUCACAUUUGUCACGAGAAUGAAGACAUGUGAAAGUUAAAGUGUUGUUUUUUUUUUUUUUUUUUUUUUUUGAGACAGUCUUGCUCUGUUGCCCAGGCUGGAGUGCAGUGGUGUGAUCUCAGCUCACUGCAACCUCUGCCUCCUGUGUUAAAGUGAUUCUCCUGCCUCAGCCUCCUGAGUAGCUGGGAUUACAGGCAUGCACCACCACACCAGGCUAAUUUUGUAUCUUUAGUAGAGACGGGGUUUCUCCAUGUUGGUCAGACUGGUCUUGAACUCCCGACCUCAGGUGAUCCGCCCGCCUCAGUCUCCCAAAAGUGCUGGGAUUACAGGUGUGAGCCACUGCGCCUGGCUGAAACCACGUGUUCUAAUGCAGUUUUUUUUCUACAGGACUUAAAAAAGACAAUGUCCUCAUUUACUACUCAUAUGAAGUAAAUGUUAAAAAUCAUCUCUAAACCUAAAAAAACUUUUAAUCUUUUUAACCUCCAUUUUAUUUUAAAAUGUUUCCAAGUUUGUCUUAUAGCCAUUUUGCAGUUUAAAAAAUUAUGCUUAUUGGCUGGGCAUGGUGGCACACGCCUAUAAUCCCAGCACUUUGGGAGGCUGAGGCAGGCGGGGAUCACUGAGGCCAGGAGUUUGAGACCAGCCUGGCCAACAUGAUGAAACCUCAUCUCUACUAAAAACACAAACAUUAUCCGGGCAUGGUGGCGAGUGUCCGUAAUCCCAGCUACUGAGGAGGUUGAGACACAAGAACUGUUUGAAUCCGGGAGGUGGAGGUUGCGGUAAGCAGAGAUGGUGCCACUGCAUUCCAGCCUGGGCGACAGAGCCAGAUUCUGUCUCAAAAAAAAAAAAUAAAAAUAACUAAUACCUUAUUGAAAGGGUUUGCCCUCACAAUAUUUUAAUUUAACUUUACCUUAGGAUGAUAAAACUCAGUCUGGAUUUCUGGCACAGCCCAAUUUAUGAUAUGAAUAAAUCAAACACAAAUGUCAAAAGGUUAAAGGAAGCUGAUAGAGAAAAUGAAUUUAGGAGAAGAAAUAAUAUAGUUAGGGCUUGUAUGAGUUUUUAAAGCCAAACAGGAAGCCGCACUGAAACAUUCCUCUAAGAACACACCCCAAAGCUUAAACGGAAGCUACCAAAUCAAAAGCCAUCAAUGUGACUUUCUCCAAUACAGUUGACCCUUGAACAACGUGGCUUUGAACAUUCUGCCUCUGUCAGUCUUGAGACAAGCAAGCCCAAUCCCUUUUCUUCCUAUCCAAAAUAAAGACCUUUGUGAUGAUCCAGUUCCACUUAAUGAACAGUAAAUAUAUUUUCUCAACAUUUUCUUUAGCUUACUUUACUGUAAAAACACAGUAUAUAAUACGCAACAUACAAAAUGUGUUAACUGGUUAUGUUAUCACUAAGACUUUCAGUCAACAGGUUAUUAGUAGUUAAGUUUUGGGAGAGUCAAAGGUUACAUGUGCAUUGAUCUGCGGGGUCAGUGCCCCUAGCAUCCUCAUGUUGUUCAACAAGUCAACUGUAUUUUCACUAGUUUCCAUGUUUCUUAAGUAAAACCCACAUAUACUUUGGUUUUUAAAGUCGUCAUUCCUUAGACAAAAUGCACAUUGCCAUUUACUGAGUGUCCUGGCCAUUAUAUAUGGUAUAGGCAGACAGUUUCAAAAGUUGAAUUCUAAAUGAAGUCACUUACAUUUUAGGUUAAACCAUAUGAAAAUGUCAAGAUUUCAACCUAACACCAUAAUACCACAGCCCUUUAAUGAUCCCCAGUUUGGCAAGAUUUCAAAAAUACAACCACAACUUUGAAAAGAACUAUCAUAUUUCUGAACACCAAUAACUACAAGAUACUCCACUAACAGCUUUUUAGGAAAAAGUAACUCUACCACAUAAAACAUAAUUACAAAUUGAUCAAAGGACUAAAUUUCUU
rnacentral:lncRNA from 1 species